UCCCUCUCAGGGUCGCUCCUGGAGAGUUUCCAUUCCUCUACCAGUCUCGACUAUGGGAGGAAGAGUCAAGCAGAGGCAUAUCCAUUCCACUCCUAUCUUGGGUAGUGGCCAGCGAGUGGAAGGCAAUCUGCUACAAGU